rnacentral:rRNA from 1 species
UCAAAAACGACUCUCGGCAACGGAUAUCUCGGCUCUCGCAUCGAUGAAGAACGUAGCGAAAUGCGAUACUUGGUGUGAAUUGCAGAAUCCCGUGAACCAUCGAGUCUUUGAACGCAAGUUGCGCCCGANGCCUUCGGGCUGAGGGCACGCCUGCCUGGGCGUCA